AGAAUCAACGCUGGCGGCGUGCCUAACACAUGCAAGUCGAACGAGAAAGUGGAGCAAUCCAUGAGUAAAGUGGCGACCGGGUGAGUAACACGUGACUAACCUACCUUCAAGUGGGGGAUAACCUCGGGAAACCGGGGCUAAUACCGCAUAACAUCUUUGGAGUGGAAAUUCUGAAGAUCAAAGGAGCAAUUCGCUGGAAGAGGGGGUCGCGGCUGAUUAGCUAGUUGGCGGGGUAAUGGCCCACCAAGGCUUUGAUCGGUAGCCGGCCUGAGAGGGCGCACGGCCACACUGGAACUGAAACACGGUCCAGACUCCUACGGGAGGCAGCAGUGGGGAAUUUUGCGCAAUGGGGGAAACCCUGACGCAGCAACGCCGCGUGGAGGAUGAAGUCCCUUGGGACGUAAACUCCUUUCGACCGGGAAGAUGAUGACGGUACCGGUGGAAGAAGCCCGGCUAACUUCGUGCCAGCAGCCGC
rnacentral:rRNA from 1 species